GGGCCCGUGGCGGAAUUGGCAGACGCAGCGGCCUUAAAAGCCGCAGCCCUUCGGGGCGUGUGGGUUCAAGUCCCACCGGGCCCA
rnacentral:tRNA from 1 species